GCUUUCGUGGUGCAGUGGUCAACACGCUGCUUGACGCGUAUUCGAGAGGUUUGUGGUUCGAGUCCCGACGAGGGCA
rnacentral:tRNA from 1 species